GACGUAGGGCGCGAGCGUUGUCCGGAUUUAUUGGGCGUAAAGAGCUCGUAGGCGGCUCGUUGCGUCGGCUGUGAAAACCCGCAGCUCAACUGUGGGCUUGCAGCUGAUACGGGCGGGCUGGGAUUCGGUAGGGGAGACUGGAAUUCCUGGUGUAGCGGUGAAAUGCGCAGAUAUCAGGAGGAACACCGGUGGCGAAGGCAGCUCUCUGGGACGGUACUGACGCUGAGACGCGAAAGCGUGGGGAGCGAACAGG
rnacentral:rRNA from 1 species